rnacentral:pre_miRNA from 1 species
GGCUUUCUGAAUCCAUGCGGAGGUUUCACCAGAUUUCAACCCAUUAGGGCUGAUCAGACUUCCAAGAUAAAUGAAGCU